rnacentral:tRNA from 1 species
GGCCCGUUGGUCAAGAGGUUAAGACACCGCCCUUUCACGGCGGUAACAUGGGUUCGAGUCCCGUACGGGUCACCA